GUCGCGCGUGGCGCGGCCAACGUGCCGGCUUCCACAUAGUCGGACGACGCCUGAGAAGGCGCGGCAGACCCGGCUUCGGCGGCCGGAGGCGUCUC
rnacentral:tRNA from 1 species